GACGUAGGGCGCGAGCGUUGUCCGGAUUUAUUGGGCGUAAAGAGCUCGUAGGCGGCUUGUUGCGUCGGCUGUGAAAACCCGCAGCUCAACUGUGGGCUUGCAGCCGAUACGGGCAGGCUUGAGUUCGGUAGGGGAGACUGGAAUUCCUGGUGUAGCGGUGAAAUGCGUAGAUAUCUGGAGGAACACCGGUGGCGAAGGCGGCGUCCUGGACCAACACUGACACUGAGGAGCGAAAGCCAGGGGAGCAAACGGG
rnacentral:rRNA from 1 species